CAGUAGCCGCGGUAAUACGAAGGGGGCUAGCGUUGUUCGGAAUCACUGGGCGUAAAGCGCACGUAGGCGGACUUUUAAGUCAGGGGUGAAAUCCCAAGGCUCAACCUUGGAACUGCCUUUGAUACUGGAAGUCUUGAGUUCGGGAGAGGUGAGUGGAACUGCGAGUGUAGAGGUGAAAUUCGUAGAUAUUCGCAAGAACACCAGUGGCGAAGGCGGCUCACUGGCCCGAUACUGACGCUGAGGUGCGAAAGCGUGGGGAGCAAACAGGAUUAGAUACCCCAGUAGUCCCUGUCUCUUAUAC
rnacentral:rRNA from 1 species